UACGAAGGUGGCAAGCGUUGUUCGGAUUCACUGGGCGUAAAGGGUGCGUAGGUGGCUGGGAAAGUUUGAUGUGAAAGCUCAGGGCUUAACCCUGAAAUGGCAUUGAAUACUGCCUGGCUGGAGGUUUGGAGGGGGGACUGGAAUUCUUGGUGUAGCAGUGAAAUGCGUAGAUAUCAAGAGGAACACCAGUGGCGAAGGCGAGUUCCUGGACAACACCUGACACUGAGGCACGAAAGCCGGGGGAGCAAACAGG
rnacentral:rRNA from 1 species